GUGGCAAAUGAUUGUGAAAAGAUUAAAAAAAAUCAAAAGCAUGAGAUGGACAUAGUGGCUAAACAAAUGAAAUGAGGCAAAGUUCAUCAGUAAGCACUGAACGGCAUUGAAGGCGUCAAACCUGGCGUCCAAAUUUGCUGAAUGAGAAGGAUGCGCGCGAUGGAGAUGCGACGCAUCCAUUGUGGCUUCAAUCUGCUAAAUGUCUUUAAAGGUUAUUACGGGGAGGGUUGUGCUAUUAGUUGGGAGUUGGUUCUUAAAAACUUAGAGAGAGAAGGGAGCUCUCUACCAUUAAUACUUUUUCAAGGGACUGGACAUGAGCAGCUUGGACUGCGUGGUUAGGCAUCUCUACAUUUUCUGUUGACGCUUUUGGUGAGACUUCACACUCGUACCGUGGAGAAUUUAUUUAUAUGAUUAUCCUUUUAAGCCACCGGGUUAUGUUUUGGUUGGCUAUUUCAUUUUGUGUCAUAUAGAUUCCAUAGACAAUAGUAUUAUUCAUUUUGGGUUGUAAUCCUAUGGUUACUCAUAUGGCAUGCAUGAAUGAACCUUUUUUUUAUCUUUAUGAAGUUCACUUUCAAAGAAAAA